UCCGGUUUAUCACCGGCAGUCCCCCUAGAGUUCCCGGCCGAACCGCUGGCAACUAAGGGUAGGGGUUGCGCUCGUUGCGGGACUUGACCCAACAUCUCACGACACGAGCUGACGACAGCCAUGCAGCACCUCCACGUCAGCCCCGAAGGGAAACUCCAUCUCUGGAGCGGUCCACCGCAGUUCAAACCCAGGUAAGGUUCUUCGCGUUGCGUCGAAUUAAACCACAUGCUCCGCUGCUUGUGCGGGUCCCCGUCAAUUCCUUUGAGUUUUAAUCUUGCGACCGUACUUCCCAGGCGGGAUACUUAAUGCGUUAGCUACGACACCGAGUCUAUUGGAAAACCCGACGUCUAGUAUCCAUCGUUUAGGGCGUGGACUAC
rnacentral:misc_RNA from 1 species